rnacentral:rRNA from 1 species
CCUACGGGGGGCAGCAGUGGGGAAUAUUGGACAAUGGGCGAAAGCCUGAUCCAGCCAUGCCGCGUGUGUGAAGAAGGUCUUCGGAUUGUAAAGCACUUUAAGUUGGGAGGACGGGCAGUAAGCUAAUACCUUGCUGUUUUGACGUUACCGACAGAAUAAGCACCGGCUAACUCUGUGCCAGCAGCCGCGGUAAUACAGAGGGUGCAAGCGUUAAUCGGAAUUACUGGGCGUAAAGCGCGCGUAGGUGGUUUGUUAAGUUGGAUGUGAAAGCCCCGGGCUCAACCUGGGAACUGCAUCCAAAACUGGCAAGCUAGAGUACGGUAGAGGGUGGUGGAAUUUCCUGUGUAGCGGUGAAAUGCGUAGAUAUAGGAAGUAACACCAGUGGCGAAGGCGACCACCUGGACUGAUACUGACACUGAGGUGCGAAAGCGUGGGGAGCAAACAGGAUUAGAUACCCCGGUAGUC